rnacentral:rRNA from 1 species
UCUGCCCUGCACUCUGGGACAAGCCCUGGAAACGGKGKCUAAUACCGGAUAUGACCUUCCUCCGCAUGGGGGUUGGUGUAAAGCUCCGGCGGUGCAGGAUGAGCCCGCGGCCUAUCAGCUUGUUGGUGGGGUAAUGGCCUACCAAGGCGACGACGGGUAGCCGGCCUGAGAGGGCGACCGGCCACACUGGGACUGAGACACGGCCCAGACUCCUACGGGAGGCAGCAGUGGGGAAUAUUGCACAAUGGGCGAAAGCCUGAUGCAGCGACGCCGCGUGAGGGAUGACGGCCUUCGGGUUGUAAACCU